rnacentral:lncRNA from 1 species
GAAAACGAUGUGAGCGCUUCAAUUGGGCAGAAAGCAGUGUGAUGUUUAGACUCUGGAUGGCCAGAUAGCUAGCAACAAUGACAAGAAGCUGCCAUGUGGUGAAUCGUCCCUGUGUUGGUGAUGAACAUCUGUUGCUGGGUAAGCCAGACUGCCAAGAUCCCCUUCUUCUCGCCUAGCUCACUCCCAAUGUCAUGAACAUUGCCAAGGAUGCACACGAAGGAGGGGCAGAUGGAGUCACUGCCACCAACACAGUGUCUGGAAUGAUGGGCCUGACAGCACUCCCUGGCCUGGCAUCGGCAAGGGCAAGCGCACCACCUAUGGAGGAAUGUCUGAGCACAGCCAACCCCAUCCUGCAGGGACUCCUGACAGCCAGUUAGAGACUAGAGAUAGAGGGGGCUGGAUUGGACCACAUUGGGGAGUGAGGUAAGGGGGGAACGGUGUGUAUGUGUGAGUGUGCGUGUAAGACCACAUGGGUGGGCAAGAGAUAGCGAUUGGAUGAUUGUCAGUAUGUUUUCUUCAUAUAUAACACUGUAUUUAUUUCUGUUUUUUUCUGAGAUUGAGGAACAGAAAAACUCUAACAUACACAACUACGAAUCUGAAUUUAUCUCAUCUUCU